CAAAUCAGGUAGGACUACCCGCU
rnacentral:rRNA from 1 species